CUGCUGUGCGGGUUUGCCCCAGAGUGGGCCCAGGACGGAGAAACGGCGGGAAAAUCCAGCCAGCAGAAUGGGAGGCCUGGGACAGGUGCCCAGGACCUCCUGCACAUUGCUCAGCUUAGAAUGGAAGCUGGUCCAAGCCCUGGCUCUCCCCUGACCAAGCAGGGCCGUGCAGCUCAGCUCAGCCUCAGCCUCCAAUGGCCUCAGCAGCCUCCUCGGUGACAUGGCAUGUGAGGCUGCCAUCCUCAUGGGUUUUGUGAGGACAGAAUGUGACUGUGGAGGCAGAGUCCCUCUACGCGCCAGGAACGCGGCAAGAGGCACCAAAGCAGCUACUAAUAUUUUAUCGGAGAUCAAAGGCCAGUGGUUCCAACUGGGGUGUCAGCAGCCUCCUGCUUCCGGUCCCACCCCAGGACUGCUGGGGGACACAGUUUGGAAACCCUUGACCUAGAUUCUGGGCUGGCAGUGGGACCAGAAGUAGCAUUAGCUGACAAUUACAGGAGCCGGAACAGCAUGGAGUUUGUCAGCAUGGAAUUAGGUCACAGAAUUCUUAAAACAGAGGAGACACAGAAGCCAAAACUCUCAACAUCUGAAGGCACAGUGCUCUCUGGGGCCGGCGGGGGCGUGGGCCCACCAACAGAUGGGAUUCCAGCCUGAGAUGGGCUGGGCACCGGCACGCACCCGCUGGCUCUGCCCCGGGCGUCCUGGGGCAGCCAGGAAGAGGGCCCUCCAGCUCCCCCACCACCUCCAAAGCCCCCUCUUUCCUGGGAUGGCCUGCUUCCCGCCUUCACUUUGCUCAGAACCUGGACCAAGCAUGGCUCCGGAGGAGAAGAGAUGCAUGCCUGCCACCUGGGGAUCUUCAGGGAAGGCACCUACAGGCGCAGGCCAUGGGUGGAGGUGCUAGGCCAGCCCGGCCUCGGGACGGCUAAGCAGGGCAGCGAGGUGGACCAGCGGAGCUGAGCGGGGC